CCGAUGCCUCUGUGUGUCUCCAGUAUCUUCUUGAGGUUUUUUCCCCCAGUGCCCUCUGUUGGUUUUUGCCCUUUUGGAUUUUUAGUUGGACAAUACUGAAGUAAGUAUUUGUUGUUUUUUAUUUCGUUAUUUUUUAAAUAAAUCAUUUUUGGUUCUGCACUUGGGUCCUUCCCCUUUUUGUUUUGUCCGGUUUCAUGACAGAGGAGAGGCUAUUUUAUCUGAAAUCCUCUGAUCAAGUCUUGUUGUUUGUUCCUCAGACCAAACCCAACUGAGGUUCUCGCUGCUAUACUUCAAAACUGUCUCCUUCUGGAACUGAGAACCGUGAGUACAGUAUUUAACUGUCUGUAUGUAAAUUUGUUGCAGUCAUGGCAGAUGACUGUCUUACAUGAAUCUGGUUCUGCUCAAAGUUUCUGCCUGUAUUUCAUCUGAACUCCUCUGAUCAAGGCUUGUUGUUUGUUCCUCAGACCAAACCCAACUGAGGUUCUCGCCGCUAUACUUCAAAAAUGUCUCCCUCUGGAACUGAGAACCGUGAGUGCAUUAUUUUCUGUCUGUAUGUAAAUUUGUUGCAGUCGUGGCAGAUGGCUAUCUUACAUGAAACUUGUUCUGCUCAAAGUUUCUGCCUGUUUAAAGAAGUUUUUCCUCGCCACUGUACCUCACAAAGCACUACACUCAUGUGGAUAAAGAUGGGAUAGGAUUGAUUUUUAUCCCAUCUUAAACUUUUUCUACUCAUCCCUGGGUCUAAUACCUCUAAAUAGCUUUAAAUUGCACAAAAUAUGACAAAAUACUGUAUAGACACUGAGAUAAUGUGCCAAUAGUUGGUAGUAUUUCCCUCUUUACCAAACUAAGCUGUAAAGAAAGCCUCUUACAGUGAGGGUGUUGACCUCUUGCUGAGUUAAGGGGGUUUCUGUCUACUUCUCCCAUCAAAUCUAAUUCAGCCGAACACACAGGCAGGUUAAGUGCCGCUAAGUGCAGCUGUAUCUCUCUAAUGUGGGGAACUCUAACAGGAUAGGCUGAUAAGAGGCAGGAGAAACCUGCUCUCCCUGUGUGAGAGCGAGUCGGCUAAAUGUUGGCAGGAGAAGUCUGAUCUCAUCUCCCUGUUGGACUUCUCUCUGUCUUUUGUUUCAGUCCAGUUGCCUCUUUCAAAGAAAAACUCUCCCACUGCUAUCUGAUGCCGAUCUGUCUGCAGCCCCAAGUUCAACUUCAGCUUUAUUGUCCCGAGGGAAAUUUGGUUUCCAGCCAGAGCUAAAAAUACACAUAAAAUAAAGUCCCAUCAAACCAAAAAUGCUUUAAACUUUGCAUUAAACAAACAACAAACCAGAGCAUGACUCAAAUAUUUAGUAGAUCAAGACCAAAAUAAGGGAAAAGAUACCUGUAGAAGUACUCUGACACCAACGCCGCUCUGCCUGUGAGAAGGAAAAACUAAGACUUGAUGAUUAAGAAAAGCAAAGACUAAAAACUUGUAUUUUUAAUCCCUUAAUUUUUGUUUUAAGUGAGCAAUUUUCAACCAUCAAAUGUUCAUCUUCUUUGUAUUAUUACUGGAAAGGGACUCUUCUAAUAACCCAAAGUUUUCCUGAAGUUUUAAAAGAAGUUAGAAACAGUCAAAGUGCCUCAGUAUGAAGCGCCAACUGCCAAAAGCUUGCUCACAUUACUUUAAAUCAUUGAGUCUGUUGGCAGAGACUCUGACGUGUCAUUAAGUGUUUUUUUAAGCACCAGGAAUCUAUAAAAAUUCUACUUUCUACUUUAUCUGCCGCAUAAAGAAAAGGGCUUUGUUGCUCAACAUACAGUAGACACACGACUCAAUGAGGAUGGAGGGAACGAGGAGAAGAAACUCACAGAUAUUUGAGUGUUUGUCCUGCCCAAGAUAGCCAAGAGCAACCUUAUAUACAAACAUAAAAAUUUGUUCAUGUUGACACCAAACUUCUAUAGAAUAUAUCAUAACAUGCAACAUGUUCACACAGCAAACAAUGAGGAGUGAUGGCUUUAAAAUUAGUCAUGAACCUUAGUGCUUCAUGAUACUCAGGGUCCAGGACAUGCAGACGCAGAGAAGAGGUGUGCAUGGACGGCACAUCACCAUAAUCCAGCACUGAUGUAAGGGGAGCAAAGACUAGUCUCCUUUUGGGCUCGUAAGAGAGGCAGGAUUUGACCCUGACAGAAAAAAAAACAGUUUUAGUUUUAGUUGUCUCACCAGUGUCUGAAUAUAAAAAAAGAGAUUCAUCGAGUAAAAUACAAAGAUACCUGUACUGAUGAAUAAACUCAACCUCUGUGCCCUGCAAAGUGAAGGUUUAAGGCCUUUUUUAGGACUUGGAUUUUACUUUUGAAAACAAAACAACUUUUUGUUUUAUCUGCAUUCAAGAUAAGAUUUAAAUCAUCAACAUUUUUUGAUCAUGGUUCAGAGCGAGCUGUAAGUUGGAUUUAUCUUGGUCUGGUUUAGGCGCAGAGAAGUACAUCAUUGUGUCAUAAAAAUGAAAGUUUUCCUAUGUCUUCACCCGGGAAAACUUUUACAGAUAAUGAGGGAACACAAGAUAGCCUGGUUGGAUAUCUGUGUACAAUUAAACAACCUUUUAGUAUCUGAAAACAAGAGACAAACAAAAUUCUGAGAGUGUUCAGAAUAAUAUCAUGAGAAUUCUUAUCCUCACAGUCCUUAUCAUCUAAAAACCAGAACAGCACUGACCUGAAACCUCAGGGGAAAAUAUACACGACAGCAUAAAUCAAUCUAUAUGUGUGUCUUGUUGUAUUGCUUCUCCCACAGGCGACUUUAAACCAACAAUUUAAGUCUGAAACAGACUGAUGCCCUCCUGUACUGCUCCCCAGAUAGGUCAGAGAUAUUUUAACUGAGCUGUACUGAAGUCCUACGGGCUCUUCAGAGACAGAUGAGACACUUCAGCCUGUGGCCUUCAUCAGAGUACUGAGCUGGAAACAUUUCACAGGUCACUCUGAAAUGAAAGAAAGUGGAAUCCUUGAAAAAAGAAGCAGCAAAUGUUGGUUUUUAUCAGCAACAAAAAUGCCUUAAAUUUUGAUUUUUAUCUUUCGUAAGGAACUACAAAAUCUCCAGAAUAAAAAUGAAACUUUGGUCAAAAACAUAAUACCUCCGCCCGUUUUCAAGGCCAUCAGUACAGAAGCUGUUAAACUCCACACUUGUGUUGCCAAGGCUGUGGUUGAAAAUGAUCAGAGUCAGUUGGUGAUGAGUAAAGUCACUUGUUGUAUCUUUGGUCCAGCAGAUAUUUAUUGUGACAAACAGCUCAGACGGAGUUUCUAAGAAUGCACCGCUUGGUUUCUCAACAAAAAGGUGCCAAAAAAGUAGAACAGCAUGGAUCGAUAACUUUGAUACCUUUGCUAAAUUACACCUUAUUCACACUGAACGUUCACAGAUCAGAGAUACAACAGGGAAAAAAGAGAAAUAACUCAUCCUGCUCUCAAGUAAUCAAGCCUUACAAUACUGAGGGUAAGACUGUUGGUGUUAAAGCAACCUUGAUACGAGUGACUUUCAUCUAAAUGAUGAUGUGGUUGUCGUAGUAACAGCCUGAAAAUCCCCAUGUCUUUUGGUCACUUAGCCAAUCAUAACAAAUGAAUGUUUCUCUCCAGCUUUGAGAUUUCCUUAAUUAGUCAAAAUAUUGAAGUAUAUAUGACAAAUAACCUGAAAUAAAAUAAUAACACCUGAUAACAAUGGAUGAGUUUCUCACCCAGGAUAUGGUCGACUGGACCACAAAUGCCGCUUUAGAGGUAAGAGGUCUUUAUUUCUUGGAACGGAAAUGAGAUGUCUUCAAAAGUUUGCAGCUAACGAACAAAAGCCAAAGCUUUGUGAAGUUAUUCAGCCUGAUUCAGAGCUUUCAAUGAAACUGCAGCAGACCUUGAAGGAUCACAAAAAAAGUGGGAGCUCUUACUCUUAGAUAAAACCUUUUCAGUUUUAGAGUAAAACCAUCCAGCGAGAUAAGUAGUUUUUUUUUUUUUAUCCCUGUUAUCACCUUUUGUUGAGAAUUUCAUUCACUUUGAGAUCCUGACGCAUGAAUUUAGACUGAAACCUGUUACCUAAAAGUCGGUUUCACCACGUCUCACUGUCAUUCAUGCGUAAACACGGUUUUCUCGUUGGGUCGAGAUAUAGCAGAUUCACAGGUGGUGGCCAGUUGGUGUUGUUAGACGAUAAAUCUUAAAUUUUAGUGGAUGAGUCUUCAAAGAAGAUCUAUUUAGACUUAGCGCUUUCACUUUUUAAAAACCCAUUUAAGACCCAUUAGUCCUCUGAGCUCAAACAGAGGGUCGCCCACUUCUCUUAUUUAUCACUCAGACUCAAGAUCGAUUUCUUGAUUUCAUUAGUUUCAAUGAAACUUCAUUAAAGUAGGGCAGGAGGGAUUGGCAGAAGGAGAAGGAUUAAUUUUGGAGAUUGAGUGGGAGGUCAGAAAAGGGAGGAUAAGCUCAGAGUGGGGCAAAGAAGAAGAGUUCGGAUCUUAAAAGGUUAUUAAGAUGGAUAGGGUUAGUACUGAAGGAGCCAGAUUAAGGGAUGAGAGGAGGAGUUGGAUGGUUUGGAUGAAGUGCAGAGGUGGGUGCUGCCAGAAGUUUGAGGUAAUCAGAUAUAAGAAAGAAAGAAAGCUUAAUGUGGCAUAAAGGAUUUAAUAAAGACAAGUCUGACUGAUGUAUUUGGAUAAAUACUUUUAUUUCAUCAAUGUUUAAUCCAAAAAUCAAAACAGUGGGAUAACAGUUGUCUGAUCAUAAAAAUCUCCAUGCAAACAAAACCUUUAAGUCUGUUGAAUUAAAUGUUCAUUUUGUACAGAGGAUCAUUUGUGACCAACAUUCGAGGGGCCGAGACUUUGAGUCAAGUCAGUUUUUAAACAGUUUUAAUCACUGUGGCAUUUACCAAGUUCAAACUAGUUUUACGGUGUUAGAUUAAAUAGUAGCCACCUGCCCACACAGUCGAUUCUCAUUGCUUUCCGUGACUAUGGCACCAGCUUAAUACAGACAAUUACCGAGGGUCAGCAUUCGGGGAAAAGAAAUGAAGCCAACAGGAAAGUGACAAAGAGGAAACCUCCUGAAAUGUCAACCGGAGACGAGCUUCAUUAGUGAGUCAAUACUCGUAGACCUGGAUGUGGAUCGCUUAGUGUUGCAGCAGAAUUAAAGAUGUUGAGAAGUCCAACUGAAUGUUCACAUGAUUUUAAACGUCCAGUUUCAAGGCAAUAAAACAUUUUUUUUUAAAGCAUGUAAAAAUACAAACUGAUGGAAGAGGUAUUGAUGUAGAGAGCACACCAGUUUUAGGAAAAUUAGACGGAUCACUCCGCUGUUGAACAAGCUCCACACAUAUUCAGGCUGGAAUACACACUCACACACAAACAAACAAACAGGAUCCUAUAGAUACAGACCUAUGGAGAGAAGUCAGAGUGAGAGGGUCAGCUAAUGGAUCAGCCAGAGCAUCUGGGAGUUAUGUGCCUUGCUCAAGGGCAUCUCAGCUGUGCCCAGGGAGUGUUCUGGUGUCUCUCCAACUAUCAGCCCAUUUUCAGUCAUACAUGGACUUGAACUCCCUGGUUCCCAAGACGAGUCAUUAAAAAUCGAGAUACAACUGCCACCUGAUCUAUGGUAAACAUCUGUGUGUGCAGCUAAAUCUACAAUGCAAAUAUUACAUCAACCAGUAUGUCGACUGCUUAUUUGAAGCCUUGCAGAAUAAGAAAAUCAUUACAAGACCAUAGCUCACAAGUCUGUAUAAAACAUAAUCCUUUUUUUGAAUAACUUCCCUUAAGCUCUCCAGAGAGAGACAAAGAGAGUCUUCUUCACACCAAAGACUGUUCAAGUUUCAAAUUAAGCCUAAAACUUGGGAUUUUCCGCCAAGUUCAUGAGCAGUUUUGUCCUCUUAUCUCGGGCACUGAGGGCACAGAAUUAAGAAGAAUUGUUUUAAUGGCUUGACUACACACAGAGGGUUUGAUAACGGUAAGCAAAACCUCCUCUCACAAUAGAGUAACAUGAGCUUUUUGGAGAAUUUGGAGUUAAUCGUUUGACUUCAUGUAAAAGACACUAUAAAUGAGUCACUUUUGUUAAAAGAAACAGUUAACAGACUAAGAUAAAUACAAGGACCAAUUUCAUUAAUAUUAAAGGUAAAAUAACAAUCUUUUUAUUCAUUUCUCUCACUUGAAGCUGGCCAUCUUGCCCAUUAUUGUACCAAAUAUCUGUUUCCUGAUUCACAACAGCGUCUCCUUAAUUCAGAAUCUACCCAUCAGUAGCUCCACAUGCUGCUCCGUCCUGACUCCUCAGCAACAGAUGGGCAUCCUAAUCUGACUCAUCAUCAUCAUCAUCAUCUCCUCCACAACACUUUAAUCAGACAUAUUAUUAUGCUUCUGUUGUUUACCGCAGGCAGCAGAUUGACACUAAAACACAUAUCUGACUUUGACAUCUACAUAGAGAUGAGCUGAUUCUUUAGCCAACUGAUCUGACUGCUAAAAUAAGUACUGGUAAUCGAGCGUAACAAAGGUAGAAAAUUCAAGUUUUCAUUCUGACUUUAAAGUUCCUAUAAGGAAUUUUUUUAGCCUUCAUGAAUAAGCUAAAAUCCUGAAACUAAAACAUUCAUCAUACAUGUCUGUUUGAAACUAAGAAACUCAGUCCCAGCAACCUCAAAAACGGAGACCCUUUACACUGGACCUCACAUUUUUCCCCUGUCUUUAUAAAGAUUGUUGUUGUAAAUAAAACAAGACCGCUCUGAACUCUGUCAGUGUCUCAGCAAUCAUUCGCUCUCCGUGUCCCUGCGGUGUCUGCCAUUAAAGCAAUACCCCACAGAGGACGCUCUGUGGGACAGAUACACAAACUUAUAGGCACACAGACACAGAGAUACAAUACUAUAAAUAUUUCAGCAGCUUUUUUUCUAUCUUUGUCACUCAAUGGACCUACAGAUGAUCUGAAACUUGGGUUAAAAGAAUCACAUUUUUGUUAAUCCUGAGAAAAUUUGCAGCUUCAAGUCUUUUCAGAUUUUUAGAAAAUUAACAAGAAAUGAGAUAAAAUGAUUUGUUCUUUGUGCUCCGGUGAAAAUACCCUUAUAGAUAUCAUUCAGUGCAGACUGUCUACAAUGUGUGCAUCCUUGAAAGCAUUUGUCUGAUUGAAAUAAUAACCCAGCCCGCCUCAAGGGUGUGCUCUCUUUCUCUUUCUCUCUCUCUCUCUUUCUCUUUGGUUGCAGAUUUGUUGGAUUUGACUGACAGAUAAAUACUUCGCCUUAAAUCUCGCAUCUUUUGUCGUUUGUAUGUCUGCACAUCUUUAUUUGCUCUUCCAAUUGACCCUCUCAGACUCUUCAUGUAUAAUGUAUAUACACUUGCCAAGUUUAGCAUUUGCGUCACAUGUACAAAUGUACACUACAGUUGGAUUGUGUGCAUUUGAGUACAUAUAUGCUCGCUCGACCUUCAGAAGCACCACACAUGUCUGAAUGGAUGGGAUUUGUUUGAAUGUAAUUAUGCAGCGUUUUCACCAGCGAUACGGAGAAUAAGCAAUUAAGGAAAAGACUGACCCUGAAAGAGAAUCCAAACCUGUUCAUGAGAGAUCGCUUUUAAUUCCUUGAAACUGGGAAGACUGUACAGAAGACCUUAUUCAUACUUGAGCACAUCAGAGGUUUUUUAAUGGUAUAUAGGUUUUUCUAUGGUGAGGACCUAAAGAGAGCGUGAGUGCACACAGUGUUCAUAGCAAAGACUAGUCCUCCAGUGGUGAACGCAAGACUUGGAAAUUUUCAGCUUAGUUUGAAAAAUGAUUAAUACGAGAAAUUUAGUAAAACAGUAACGUAAAAUUGAAUUAAACAUGAACUUACAAGCAGCGAUGACUGAACUACAAGCGUGUUUGUUUCAAUAACUCAUCAUGAAAAUGUUUGCAGCCAUGUUGACUCACAGUCAUUUAAGUCCUGGGCUUUUGGCUCCUAAUGUCUUAAUGUCUUUGGCUCUUAAUGACUCUUAAGCCCUGUUUAUAUGUACCUGGUUAUUUUUAAAAACUGAGACAUUAACAAUCAUUUGCACCCUUCGUUUAGACGCAAACGGAGAAUUCGCCCCUGAAAACGGUGCUUUUUAAAAACUCCGGCCAGAGUGGAGAUUUUGGAAAACUCUGUUUGCACAUUUGUAUGUAAACAGAGAAAAACUGAGAUUUGGGUAGCCGCAGCAGAUUGCGCGCCGGAAAGAAGGAAGUGACAUUGUUGUUGCUGCUGCUAUGCAGGAUCCUGAUUGGCUAACGUGGGCUUGAGCUUCUCGCUACACCGCCACCCACAUGUUUGAUAUUCUCUUGAUGGCGUAUAUACACGAGUUAGUGUAAAAGAAAACUUUUCUGAAAACGUAGUGGUGUGCAGGCAGUUUUCCUUUUUUUUUGUAAACAGAGAGGGUGAAAUGUCUCUUUAUGAAAAUAGCCGGGCACGUGUAAACGUAGUCUUAAUGGCAUAGUCUGAGUUUAUAGCCGCUUAUAGUUUCCCAGUGUUCUCUAGUGUUCCCCCUCUCCUGUGUAUCUGUCCUCCCCUGUGUGUGUAUAUGUGUGUAUCUGAGUGUGCGUGUAAGUGCAGACUUGGCCUUCUUCCUGAUUACCUCCUGUUUCACCUGUUUCCAGUGUCACACCUGCAGCUAAUCAGCCCUGAGGUAUAAAACUCAAGCUUCUUCUCUCAUUCCUCCUCAGAUGUUUAAUCAACAGUCCUGGAGGACACUUGGCUGUAUCUGCGCACCUUUUCCCAGGUGAGUUUUAAUAUUCAUUCCUGGUAUUUGUCUUGAUAAUCUCUGCUAACCCAGAAUCAGCACACUUCAUUGAUCAAAAGCUCUCCAGCCUGCCUGCACCUUCUCUUCUGUCCCAGAAACCUGCAUACCUCCUCAUCCUCUGUGAGUAACCUAUCUGUGCUGCAUCUAAACUUACAAAACUGCUCUGUUGUGACUUCCUGUUGUAAGAAAAGGAAUUUACUGUGACACAGAAAAUAAUUUUUGGGGAAAAAAAAUUGACCAAAAAAAACAUUCACAUGCCUUGAGCAUCAUAGAUUAAAGUCAGGAAUAAGUACCUGAAGUAAAUCUCAAAUAAAGUACUUAGCCGAAUAACAGAAUGAUAGUAGUUUUACUUCUACAUAAGUCAUAAAGCACACGAGUAACUGCACUUUCACUUUAGUAGAAUAAUCAGUUCUCUUUCUAUCCUUGCAUGCUCAUAUCCACUGAGCAUUUUUUGGUCUAAAAGAGGUCUAAUAGACGUCCAAAUGUAGCCUAGACGACUGGUCUAAACUCAGGCUACCACAGGUCUAAAAAUGAAAGUUUUGUAGACAUCUAAAUUUAGACCAAGUCUUGAUUGGGGCUACAUCUAUACUACACAGUAUAUUGCUUAACGGCUAUCAUAAUUAUUUUGGUUAAGUACUUGGAGAUCAGUUGCAACUCAAAGUUGCUUUUUGAAAUAAUUAUUGAAUAAUGGGUUAUAGUGCAACGUCUAAAUUCCAUCUAAAAAUAUACAGAAUCUAGUCGUUGAACUAGACAUCUAAUAGCUGUCUAUUGCUCAGUGGGUACAUGCUGUGUGAAGUGAUGAAGGUAACGGAUGAAUAUAAGAGGUGGCUCGGUUGAUUUCUUCUGUUGUUGUUGUCUGUGCUGACUAAAGGAAUGAAAUGGACAGAUAGUAUAAUGCAGUUGAGUGUAUGAUACCCAGCUAAGACCUUGAAACUGUUGAGAUAUUUAGUUCAAAGUUAGUUUAAUGAUCUGAGUGUCCACAGACUGCUUUCUUACGGCUAACUUGAAUAAAAGAACUGAAGAAUAUAAUCUACUUUUAAUAAUUAACUGGUAGGCUUCAUACAAUCUGGAUUAUCAUUAAUAUAUUGGUUCCUCGACUGGUGUUUUAGAAGAAGCUGCAGUGAAGCUCAGGCUCAGUCUGUCAGAUGAGUUAGAGCGCUGCUGGUCCACAGCAUGUGGGUGAAAGUCAUGUGUUGAGUUCUUGGUUCUUUGUGUUUGUACACUCAUCCAUCCCCUAAUGGAAAAUCAAAUGUAACCCAAAAUGAAUCAAGUGUGCCUCCACAUUUUCUUGUAUAACCUGCAUGCACGGUGAGAGCUGUGGCUGCUGUAGCUCAUCCGUUUGUGUGUGUGUGUGUGUGAUGUUCUGUGCCUGUAUGUGUAUGUACAGACACGCUGCUUUACUGGUGAGUCAUGUCUGGAGAUCAUGUUGAGAGGACCGACAGGUUAAACUCACAGAGAUGAGCGUGAGAUACUGCAGUGUGUGGGAAAGACCACUCAGCAUGCCUCGUUCCCUUUCCACAAGAUGAGCAAAGAGAAUAGAUGGAAGCUUUUUAAGAGAGAGAGAGAGAGUGUGUGUGUGUGUGUGUGUGUGUUUUUGUGUCAGAGGCAGAUUCAGCAGGCAGGAUUUCAUCCAUGUGGUGAAAUGUAAAUGAGUACGAAAAUUCAAUAUGUGUCGCAUGUGUCAGCAGAGGACAAAUUAAUCAUCUAUUAAAAGCACAAACUGAACUCAGAGCAGUGAAUGUUUCCCCAAAGGUAAAUUUAAUCAUAUGCAAAGACAACAGACUACUUCCAAGCCAACCUACAGUUCUGCUAUUAGUCAGCGUGAAAGAAGAAGUAUUAAUUUGUACAGGGCAGAGUGCCUCGGAGCGAAAAAACAUCCACCCUGCGAUGCCUCAUAACAAGGACUUCAGGUGGGUUCACACCAUCAGAAAUAAAACGCUCACCUCAGGUCAGAUUCUCAAGGUCUGAUCCAGGAUCGCAGGAGUGUUCGGACUAAAAGCUAAGUUAUAAUUUGCCCCAAGAGAUACAUAGAUGCAAUAAAUGCUGUAAUUUCUUAGGUCAUUAAAUACCUCUGCAGAGAUUUCUCUCAUGGAAGUAAACCUUCUUCAUCUGUUCCCAGUAAGUCUUAGUUUCACUGUAAAUGGUGAGACACACUGAGACUGCACCUGAGCUUACAACAGCAAAACAAGUGUUUUUUUUUUUUGUGAUUUUUAAUGGGACAAAACUCCACUGAAAUAUAAUGUUAUAUAAAGAUAAUUUAGGAUUUAGGAUUUAUUUCGGUAUAAUAUGACCGAAAGGGUGUAGGCAGAAGCAAUGCUUAUAAAGACCUACCUCUUAUACUAUACAUCAAGUACAUUAUACAGAUACACUUUUCUUACUAAUAUCAACACUUCAAUAUAAAUUCACUCUUCAAAUCAGAUAGAGUAAUGAACAUGCUUUACGGUUAACAUUAAUAAUUCACAAUAAAUCAACGGGCAAUAUUUUCUCUACAGUAUUGAGGAUAACAUUUUUCUUCUAAAGUCUCUUAAAGCUUACCAGAGUACUACAUUUUCUAAUUUAUCCUGGACAGUCAUUCCAUAUUUUCACCCCUUUUACAGACGCACAAAAAUUUUUGACAUUUGUUUGCGCUUUCGGUUUCUCAAAUAAUACACAGCCUUUUAGGUUGUAAUUAGAGCCCUCAGUUUAAACAGGUUCUGGACAUGUUGCGGUAAGGCUAGGUUUUUGACUUUGUACAUGAUUUGUAUUGUGAUGUAAUCUAAACAGUCUUUGAAUUCUAAAAAAUCUAAAGAAAUAAAUAGGAGAUGAGUUGAUUCUGGGUAAUGUAAUAAGAUUAUAAAGAUCUGAAUUGGUUUCAGAUAGGUUGCUUUCACAUGGGUGAGUAAUGGUCACUUUGACGUGUUAGCCCAGAGGGUCAUUGGUGAAUCAGUUUAAAGCUCCUGUGAGCAACUUUCAGUUUGUGUUAAUUUUGGCGCCCCCUGUGGACAAAGUGGUCUUUGCUUAUUUUAUUCUCUAUCCUAAAGUAAUUUGAUGUUGAUGGAAAUUUAUGAUUUCUGAUGAUUAUUUUAUGUUUUAGUUUCAGGGGAAAAUAGAUAGACACUGACUUUAAGUGCUGUCUUGUUGGGGAGAGAUUUACACCCCUGGCAACAAUGCAGGUUUGUGAAAGCAAAAGUACAAGCUGUUUCAGGAAGAGAAAAACUGACCACUCAGAGGCCAAAUUAACUGCAGUUUCGGUCUUGCAAUGAGUGACAGAGGUAACUCUGCCCUCGCUGCAGGUCCUCUCACGAACAGCAGGCAGGUCCAUUAGUAAGAGAAGAGUUCAGGAGUUUCGGGAAAAUAAAACCGAACACACAUUUGUAAGCUUUGGAGCUGUUCAGCUGCUCACAGGUGUGCUGAGAGGCACCAGCUCUGCUUUAUAACUAAAAGGAGGCAUUGCUUUGCUUCUGAGAUGACAGAAUAAAAGCAGAGGAUGUCUGUCUUAACGGCAGCGGAGGUGUAAAAUAAUAUUCACAUCAGGAGAGGUAAACGUGUUGCUUAGAAACAUCAAUUUUUUACUCAUAGACACAGUGUUGUAUUGUCACCUAAAAUGACAGAUGGUGAUAUGUUUUUUUUUUGUGUGCUGGAGAGAAAGUGAAAACAGCUUCUUGUGGAAGUGAGAUGGAUUGUGACAACAAAUCUGCAGCGUGUGGUCAGGAAAAGCUAAAUGAACCAAAAACGCGGAUAGUCAGAUCAGGCUGGUUAGAGGUGAUAAUCGUGUUAGUGUAUGACUGCCUGAUAUAGACCACAGUGGAGAACAUCGUGGCCUUUUUCUGAGUAUUUGAAUUAUUUAUUUCAUGCUGAUACUUGUGUGUGUUCUUGUACCUGUUUGCAUAUGUGUGUGUGUGUGUGUGUGUGUGUGUGUGUGUGUGUGUGUGUGUGUGUGUGUGUGUGUGUGUGUGUGUGUGUGUGUGUGUGUGUGUGUGUGUGUGUGUGUGCAGAUGCUCGUGUGCAUGUGUCACAGCCCCCCUCUUAAACUACCAGAUGGCAGUGCCUCCUAAUCAUGGUUGUGUUACUUAAGUAGUAAAUCCCCCUGUUGGAGAAACCAACACACGGACACUGAUCCAAACACACACAAACACACAAAUAUAUGUAUGCUUGGCAGCCAUCAGUAGCAUACCUUACACAAAUAAGACUCUCAAACACACACACAAACACAGACACACAUCACUAGUACACUAUCCUUGCUUUAAUGUGCACACAUGUGACUACACAUCGUUAAUUAAACACAACACAGAUCCACAUCUUGGGAUUUGUGGGUUGGCAGAAUCCAGUCAAGUGGGAAUCAACCGAAAGCAGCGAGUGUUUGUGUCCAAUUAGAAAUACAAAAUGCGCUGUGUCAUAGCUCAAAUGAACAGGAUUGGUCACCCACUGUGGCAUCAUGUCUCAUCAGUAUGGAGGAGUCCAAUUCUCAUCUGUCUGAGUGCCAAGCGAGCGCUUUUCUCACAAUGUGGAGGAAAAUUAUGUAAGUAAAAAGAUGGAGUGAAAGUAAAACAUAUUCAUUUUUGUAGCCAAGUCUAUAUGCUCUCAAAAUCUGCUCUGCAAAUUAUAAUAUGGAGGUGUUUGGUUUGACUUCUAGAUGUGAGAUGGUCCAAAUAUGAGAUUUAUUGAAGGAUAGGUGCUGAAUUGAUUUGCAUCCAGAGCAUCUCUGGUGUCGUGUCCUAUUUUAGAUUCACUGUGAUCCUGUCCCUCCUACUUGGGUUGGAAAAAAAAAAGCGGUUCAUCCAUGGCAUAUGAAAAGACCUAAAUGAAUUCAUUUCAUCUCAAUCCUUUGUCACACAGCGGCUGUGUUUACAACACAGUGCAUUCAUGUUUAUCUCCUGUAAACAUAUCUGCUCAGCAUAUGUCUGUUUUCAGAGCAGAAUGAUAGAUGAGGAUCUGCACAGUGGAGAUGGAGCCGCACGUUUUAUCAGGGUGUGUUUGUGUGUUUGCAGUCUUCACAGAAGCAGGGGUAAUCACAUGUCAGAUAAGACGGCCUCUCCCUGACCCGCUCCUCUAUAACUGUAAACUUUAUGGGACAGACUUACACUGACUAUACCACGCACCUCAAGACUGAGCCAGCAAGAAGGGAGUGGUUUAAAUAGCUUUGUGUGUGUGUGUGUGUGCCGAGUCACAGAAAAGAAGUAUGUGUGUGUGUAUUAAAUUUUCACACAACAAUGCCCAGAGGCUCAGGUAGAAAAUAAGCUCGGUAGCAAUUGCUCAAGGUUUCUGUUUACUACAAUGAGACACGACACACACCUCAGGCUUACUCGCUUCAAACAUAUGUUUCACUUUGUUACACUCUUCUAUAACAUUGUCUGUUUGUCAAUAAUACUCCUUAAAGGUCGUUCAUAUAAACUGAUUUUCAUCUUGGUUGUGAGUUUGAAGAUCAUUAAACUAUGCUUUAACUUUGAAGGUUACAACUUCUGGUAGACAGGAUACUAUCCAAUUUAAAUUAAACUCAUGAAAUAACUGCAUGCUUACUUUGAGCACAGUAUAAAUAUUUGAUUAUUUUUAAAAGAGUGGAAGUGAAAACAGUAGCCACGUUUACAUGUGCAAAAUUUCUUGAUCUGAUUAAAAAUUUGAGGGAUGGGAUAUGGGUGCAAAAUCAAAUGAUCCGAUCAUGACAUUAGUAAACAUGCAUCAAGCUUUAUUCAGAAUAGAAGCAUUUGGACAUGCGCAGAGUUGUCUGAUUUCACUAAAACAAGAUCACAAGUUGUAUUUAUGCGUGUGUUGUCAACAAACCAACAAACGCGGUAGUGGUUCACUCCAUCCAAUUCAGGAGUUUUCCUUCUGUUAAAUGUUGUCACUAAAUGGCGCUCUUGUGUACUUAUUUUACUGUUCUGUCAAAGGUUGCUCUGUGCGUGCAGAUGUGACAUCGUUACGCUGCAUGUACACCUUGUUAUGUUACCGGAGGAGCGGACACGGUACCUGCGGUUGAUAAUGAAACCUCCUGUACUGGCCCCAAUAAGUAGCCAAGGGCUAAAGAGUGAAGAUCGAGUCAGGUAAGAGAAUCACGAUCAGAAUAAGUGUUUACAUGGACGCAUUUCGGGAUAACGAUCGGCAUAAACCACCCCUCUCGAUUGGAAUGCAAUUUCUUUCCAAAUGAGCCGAGUUGGAUCAGAAUCUUCCAAUCAACAUGUUUACAUGACGGAUUUCUAUUCCGAUCGGGCAUUUAUUCUGAUUAUUUGUGCCCAUGUAAACAUGGCUACUGAGGGUUCGACUCUUGCAGUUUGCCGUUUUAUUCAUUUUGAAUUGCAGCUUUCUGUCUUAGUGGGGUCGCUCUUUCUUUUGCAAACUUUUUUUCACUCCUGUGACGUAUUUCGGCUCAACACAGUCAGUAGAUAAAAGUUGAUGGUUGUAGUAAUCUAGGUGUUUUUACAUGACUUGAAAGAGUUAAAUAUCCUCCUUUGGACAGACUUCAUCCCUCUGAGAUCACUUCCAUGCAUAUUGCAAUUCAAUGGAAAUUUCUGAUUCCUCUCUCACACAGAUGUUCACUGAAAUUCAGCAUCUAAAUGACAAAAACUUAACGAGUACGGUCAGCACUAUACGUCAUUGGGUUUGUUUGCAGAUAAGAUAAAGCACACAGGCCUCAGGUAGUAAAUCAGAGCUAAGUGUUUUUCUUGUCUUGGUGUGACAGCUUGGUUUUAUUGUUUAUUUACCAGCAGACAUAUUACAAGCAGGAUGUCAUGGCAGAUUCUGUUUCCUCCACACUCCAGGGUGCAUAUGAAAUGUACAAGGAAACGGUUCACCAAAUACAGUUUUUCACACUGAUGCACACAAGAAAAUUGUCCUGUGAAUGGCAGCACAAUUAAAAAGUGUGUCUCUUCCCUUCAAUGUUUUAUCUUGCUUAAGCCUCGGUGCUAAGCACUCCCACGUGUGAUCCUCUCCUGUCCCACAAAAAAACAGACUUGACGCAGCAGGUUGAGCAGAUCGAGGAUGUGGUUUCAGGAAAUGAAUGAAAACUAUGAGUAGUCGACGGGUUGCUUCCUUGUUUCUAAAUCCUUGUUUUAACAGAAACCAGCUCCUGCCGUCAUUCAAAGAGAUUAGACAUGGUUUGUGGUGGCGAGAGACAAAGGAUUUAUAGAAAAAACUAAAACCAUCAUAUUUCUUUGAGGAAGGAGAAAGAAGUGCCAUAAGGAGCAGUGAUAUGGGAACAGAAGAAGUAACUGCACAAUAAGUCACACUCUCUUCUUUCAACUCAAGCAUUAAAAAUGAAGAGAAAAAACACAAUAUUAGACUCAUGUAUCUUCCUUUCUGUUUUUGUAUCUCUGUUGUUGUUGUUUUUUUUGUAUGUAUACAGAGUAUAUCCACGGCCUGUCUGCACCCUGAUGUACAUCCAUAAGUAAAAUUCUGGACAGCAUGGAAACUCAGCAAGCUCUUGUAUUUUGCUCACUAUUAACCAGCAGACAAAAACACCAGUAUCAAAUGCUGAGAUAGUUUUUUGGGGUGUUAUUUCACUCAGAAAAUGUCACUGUACAAGUUAAAGCUCAAACAGAGAUACAUACCGUAUUUAUCUUCUAUAUUCUAGACUUUACGGUAGAUAAACUGGAUUUUACCAACAAGCCUAGUAUGCGGUCUUGCUCUGGUAUGGAAACAGCUCCAUGGCUUAUGAAAAGGACCUGCAGAGGGUCAUGAAUAUCACAAACACACAUCAUUUACAAAAUGUAACAUCUACACCUCUUGCUGUCUAUGGGAGACAUCCUGUGUUCUCAAAGACCCACAACCUGUUUGACCCUCUUCCCUCAGGAAAACACUACAGAUCCAUCAAAGUGCCCAUCAACAGACUCAUGAACCACUUCUAUCCCAACGUCAUCACCAUAGUGAACACUGCACUGAAGACUCUGGGAUAGAGACACAAGAGACAACUGCUGUGAAUUUAAGAAGUGCAAUACUCUCACAAUCGAUAUACUCAUUUUACUGCUACAACCCUCAUGGAGUUUUCUUCUCCUAUACUAUUCAUUCACUCAGUGCAAGAUCCUCCUACUGUGUGUUAAUGCUCAUUUCAUGCAACACCCCACCUCCCCCUUAUUUUACUUCAAAUAUGUACAUGAAGGUACCAUGUAUGUACGUUUUAAGCCUUUGUUUAUGUGUGGGAGGAUGUUUUCAGUAGGUUAGUUCGGUAGUUUGGCAGUCUAAUCCUGAUUCAUACAGUCUUUUCUCUGAUUGGUUAUUCAAAAGGAAAAGGACUUUAGUAUACUGGUUUAAAUCAAAAAUGGCACUGUGCCUCAAACUUGGACAAAGAAGUGCAUGGUUUGACCAAAUUAUGCACGCUCUAAUCUCACUAGAAGUUUCUAUAGAGAUAUUUUCAUUCAGCUUUAUUCCAAGAGUAUGCAGAUUAUGCAUUAAACUACAUGAUAAGCUCUCUUGCAUCCUAUUUUGUUGAUGUAGGUCAGGAAACCAGGACUGAAGCUGUAAGAGACACUUGUCAAAAGCUAUAUGUAUUUAACAUUAAAAAAUCAUCUUUUUGAGCUGAACAAAAAAGACAAUCUGUCAUAAGCUUCUUCUUUUGAACCAGUGGAGAGCAGCUGAGCCUCACAGCUUAGUGAACAGAGACAGACCCUAUGUAGAUCUGUGCAGAAGUCGUAUGUAGUUGCAAAUAAAAAAUGAUGGCUAUGGGACUUUUGUGUGGCUAGAAUGUCAGAUUAAUGCACAGUGAUUCGCCAAAUGUCAAAGAUCAUCCGUGUGUGUUUGCUCCUCAAAUGGAAAUGCUCUGCCUCGCCUGGAAUAGAAAAAAAAUCCAAUUAAG
rnacentral:lncRNA from 1 species